UCCCGACGCGAGCAUAGUCAUUCGAAUCCAGUAUUAGUGCGGUGUAGAGUGCUCGGUGUUUUGUAAUCCACUUACUCAAAUUCUCCUCUCUCUCUCUCUUUCUCUUUUUUCGUCUCUCUAUCUGUUCUUUUCUUUUUCUCACGUGACUACGAUCGAUUAGUGUGUAAAAAUGCCUUUCAAGCCCGUGGAACAUCCAAAAUGCCCUAAAUGUGGCAAAUCUGUGUAUGCUGCAGAAGAGCGAGUUGCCGGUGGAUUAAAAUGGCACAAAACGUGCUUCAAGUGCGGUCUUUGCAACAAGGCUCUCGACUCGACAAACUGCGCCGAGCACGAGCGCGAGCUGUAUUGCAAAGUCUGCCACGGCCGCAAGUUCGGUCCUAAAGGCUACGGUUUUGGUGGUGGAGCUGGAUGCCUGUCCAUGGACCAAGGCGAACAUCUUCAAGCGAAGAACGAGGGUGAAUUUUCGCGAGGUUCGAAUGCUAUUCUCGAACCUCGGGCUAUCGCCAAGGCACCCGAGGGAGAAGGAUGUCCUCGAUGCGGAGGGUACGUUUAUGCUGCAGAGCAGAUGUUGGCCCGAGGAAGGGCUUACCAUAAACUGUGCUUCAAGUGCAAAACGUGCCGCCGCACUUUGGACUCGACGCUUCAUUGCGAUGGUCCCGACCGCGAGAUAUACUGUCGAGCUUGCUAUCCGAAGAAAUUCGGUCCGCGGGGUGUCGGCCACGCCGGGAUUAUGUGGAUCGGGCUGCAGUGCGAUAUUGAGGACGAGGGCGAUGCGGCUCCUCGUACCACCGUGAUCGACACCGCGAUUAUCAAGGCCCCGCCCGGCAAGGGUUGUCCUCGCUGCGGUGGCGUCGUCUUCGCCGCCGAGCAGGUGCUCGCCAAGGGCCGCGAGUGGCACCGGAAGUGCUACAAGUGCCACGACUGCACCAAAACCCUGGACUCGAUCAUCGCCUGUGACGGCCCGGAUCGGGAUGUUUACUGCAAGACCUGUUACGGAAAGAAGUGGGGACCGCACGGAUACGGAUUCGCAUGUGGCUCGGGAUUCCUCCAGACCGACGGACUCACGGAGGAAGAAAUUUCGGCCAGUCGACCUUACUACAAUCCUGAUACGACCUCGAUUAAGGCGCCAGCUGGGCAGGGUUGUCCCCGUUGCGGUGGCAUGGUGUUUGCCGCUGAACAACAGCUCGCCAAGGGCACCAUGUGGCAUAAGAAGUGCUUCAAUUGCGCCGAGUGUCACCGACCCUUAGACUCCAUGCUGGCAUGCGAUGGCCCUGACAAGGAAAUCCAUUGCCGCGCGUGCUACGGAAAGCUCUUCGGGCCCAAAGGUUUCGGGUUCGGCCACAAACCGACUCUCGUCUCGACGAACGGAGAUCAUGCCCCUUCAUACAUCGACGCUAAGCCCCAGGUCGGCCAGAAGCGAAACGACGGGCACGGUUGCUCGCGCUGCGGUUACCCGGUGUACGCCGCCGAGCAGAUGAUCUCGAAGAAUCGCGUAUGGCACAAGCGGUGCUUCAGCUGCGGUGAAUGUAACCGUUCCCUGGAUUCGACGAACUUGAACGACGGUCCGGACGGGGACAUCUACUGCCGCGGUUGCUACAACCGGAACUUUGGGCCUAAAGGCGUGGGCUUCGGAAUGGGCGCGGGUACCCUCACGAUGGCCUAAUUGAUAGGCCCUACUCCCUCACACGCCGCUCGAGGAAAACCCUCGAUCCAGUCUUAUAUAUUAAUGCCAGCGAAACAGAGUGCAUCAUGGAAAUUAAAGAUGCGCUGCUUUUUAACUGUUUCGUGCAACAGAUCAAAAUUAUGCAGUAAUGACUGCAAAAACACUCUAUCAUGGACAAAUAUCAUUUCUAUAACUUCAGGACAAUAAUUUUGAUAUUUACAGCUGUAAUAAUUAAACACAUGGCAUCGAUUGCAGCGGAUAUUCGACGACGUCAUAAAUACGAAAAUAUCAAUCUAUAUAACCGGACUACGACCAGCAGCAACGAUGUAACCAACGACUAAGACGAGAAACUAAUUUAAUUAUGAUUUUCAAUAAAUGUGUACUUGAAA
rnacentral:misc_RNA from 1 species